CACUACUCAGCCAGCAACAUGCCCAAAGGAAGCCCCAACACCUCUUGCCACUUAUCCGUUAGGCUAGAGCCCCGGACCUCAGCUGUGUGUCCUGCUGACCUGUCGUAUGAUGGGAACCAAGAUCCUACUUGAGAAGAGCUUGGCAACUGAGCUCUCAGCAAUGGAGCCCAGUUGGGAGUGGCAGAGAUCGGACUCGGGACCUUGCGCUUGCAAGCCAGGUGGCGGCACUACUGAGCUAAAUCACCAGCCCUGUGACACCAUUUUAUUCCUGGCUCUUCCUCAAAGUCAAAAUGACCAUGAGAGGUAAACUUUUUGAAUCUAUUCAGUACACUGAGGCAGCUGCAAUAGAGCAAUUAGCGAUACUUAUGAAAGAAGACAUCCAGAACUGCUUCAGAAAGUGGCAAGAAUGAAGGGAUAAGUGUUUUUGAAAUGAGGGGGGUAUUUUGAGGAAGAUUAAUGACAAUGUAUCCUUUACUGUAAUAAAUAUUUAAAAAUUUAAAGAUACACCAUAUAUUUCAGUCAUACCGCAUAGACCAGAGGAGGGGCACUUUUCACUGAGAAAGACAGAAGAAAAGAUACAAUGCAG
rnacentral:lncRNA from 1 species